GUGAACGCUGGCGGUAGGCCUAACACAUGCAAGUCGAACGGCAGCACAGUAAGAGCUUGCUCUUACGGGUGGCGAGUGGCGGACGGGUGAGGAAUACAUCGGAAUCUACUUUUUCGUGGGGGAUAACGUAGGGAAACUUACGCUAAUACCGCAUACGACCUACGGGUGAAAGCAGGGGAUCUUCGGACCUUGCGCGAUUGAAUGAGCCGAUGUCGGAUUAGCUAGUUGGCGGGGUAAAGGCCCACCAAGGCGACGAUCCGUAGCUGGUCUGAGAGGAUGAUCAGCCACACUGGAACUGAGACACGGUCCAGACUCCUACGGGAGGCAGCAGUGGGGAAUAUUGGACAAUGGGCGCAAGCCUGAUCCAGCCAUACCGCGUGGGUGAAGAAGCCCUUCGGGUUGUAAAGCCCUUUUGUUGGGAAAGAAAAGCAGCAGGUUAAUACCCCGCUGUUCUGACGGUACCCAAAGAAUAAGCACCGGCUAACUUCGUG
rnacentral:rRNA from 1 species